GAUUUAAAAAAGAUUCCCAGGUGAUUCUAAUGUGCAGCCAAGGUUGAGAACCCACUGCCCUAUAGGGUAGUCCUUUAGGUCUGGCUGCCCCUGCCCAGGUCAGGAUCUUAUGGAAGAAAAGAAACCUUGAACUUGGAACUAGACAGACAUGGGUUCGAUUCUUGCCUUGACCACUGACUAGCUGCCCUCGAACAAGUCUUUGAAUCUCUCGGCAUCACUCCCCUUAUAUUUAAAAUGGGGCUGGUAGAUUGUUACUCACCAGGGCAGUGGUUAAAAUCAGAAUCAAAAUGAAAAAGAAAGUGCAUUUACUGUGUCUCACACAUUGUAAGGUUCUAGAAAAAGGUGUGACUGCUCCUCUUGCAGCUGUGAGAUGGGACUCUGGAGGCGUGGGAUCUGAGCAGCAUCGAGGGCCCAGACUUGCAGCUUUUUAACGGCCUGAGAUAUUUUUAGGCAGCAGUUGCGCCUCCUGUCCUAUCAGUGGCACACGUCUAUUCUGGCUGCUGCUUUGCACUCCAUGCCUACAGUGGUCAGAGCCCAAAGAAGUGGAUGCUUUACCAGCGCGUAUGCGGGUUGCGCACUGCACAAGGGCUCCUGGGAGCUCAGGGGCUGAAAGCAGCCAGUCUUCCCUGGUCGGCCAAGGACCACCCACGUGCAGCCCCGUCCACCCAGAGGGGCUGCUUUUCUCUGAUCCUCCCCGCAGUGGCCCUGAACCUGAGCAUGGCUCCUGCCCUGGGUGUGUCUGUGAUUUUCCCUCUGUCCCAAGCAGGGAAGCCUGACAUAUGCCAACCAAGUGAAGCUUGCAAGUUAUGCCAACAUCAAAACGCUCAAGUCAACAGACUUCUGAUAGGGCUGGCUGUUGAUGCAAAAGAGGAAGUAACCGCACAGGCAAAGACUUCAAAUGGAAAAACACGGAAAACUGGGAGCAGGUCUUCGAGAAUCCCCGAAGACCCCGGUAAGAGGGACGGCAUUGGGUGUUUGGUGAAACGUGCCAUGAAGACUGUACAGAGGCCGGUGGACGGGCCAGCAUGACACCUCACACACGGAUACACACGGACCACUCGGUGAGAACGGCUCCAGGCACAUCACAGAGAGAGCUCACGAGACUCGCAAGGGCGCAGGAAGAGAAGUGGGCCCACAGGCCCCUUCCCUCUCUGAGGAGCAAAAGGAAAAGCUAUGCAAGUUCUUGGAAGGGCGGCCCCCAGGGCCACAGAGCUCCACAGGGCGCAUCGGGGGGCUGAGAGCCGGAGCCGGCCUUUGGCAGAGGCUGGACCAGGGAGGCCGAACUCCAGAAUGAACGUCACGGGAACUGAGGUCCCUCUCCCAGGGUGGCUCCCGGGGCCGGGGCAGUGCCCACCCAGAUCCCGGCCCCUGGGAAGAAACUCGCUCCACACCUGUAAGCGAGCUGCUCCGUGGAGGUUGUCGCUGAGCAAUGAAAAGACAGCCCCCUCGCGCUCUGCCUCCUGGUCAGCACUGGAGGCUGGUUGACAAGCCACUGCAGACCUGCCCCCAGCUUCUUCCUGCGAGGAGGCUCUAGUUGACUUCUAUCCUCCGCCAAGAGGGCCCUAACUUCCCGCCAGACGGCCCCAAGGAAAGCCCAUCAGCAGUUCCUUCUGGACAAGUGGGAAAACCAGGCAGAAAAGAGGGAGAACUACCAUCGGGACAGGGAGAGCCGCAUGUUACUGCGCUGUCAGUCGUGAGAAGGAAAGGGUGGGCUCUCGGCUCUCGAGGGAGCUGUGGGGCAGGGACAGAGGAGGGACGGAGGAGUCCAGCAGCUGCGGCAUUAUGGGAACCGACCGGCAGGCAGUGGACAUGCCGUGUCUUCACCUAAAUGACACGGGGACCAUGGCCACCUUAUCAAGAGGUACUGCCCUUCCCACCCAACCUGGGAGCUCCACUAGGGGACAGUGCCAGCCUCCCAGCGCCCCUCUGCUGCCCACGCAUGGCCGUGACCCCGAGACUCCAGGUGCCACUCAUGGGCAGUGGCCUGAAAUCACCCAGGAGCUAACACUGUGGUCAUGGGAACCUGCCCAUAGGGACCGGGAGUAAACAAACUCCACCCGACAAGGGCGAAGCUGGGAGCCAGCCCUGCAGACGUGUCCCAUCCAUCAGGCCCCUUUCCUGGAAGGGGCUGAUGGCCUCCAACCUCCCUGUGUCACCCUGCCGUCCGCGCCUGGACCGGAACCACGCCCGCUGCCCAGAGUCCACAGCCUGCUGAGCAGCAGUGGCCGAGGUGAAGCUCUCCAGGUAAUGAGACGGUGACCCUGCCACCCCUCGGGAAGCCUCCACAGGGAGCAGGAGGCACCUUACACACCUCGCGGCCCAGACUCCACCUGCUCGGAGCGCUCCUGGUUUCAGAUUAGAAACUCGGGUCCCGCCCACGGACAGCUGGCCUGAAGCCUGAUCUGGUUCCGGGAAAAGGCAGGGUGGGCUCGGGAGACUCGCCGGUGCCCGACCACUGUGCCCGUCGGAGCUUUGAGAGAGGACAGAGCUGACGUCUGCUGUGUUUUGGGUGGACAGCCGCAUGGACUCCCAGCAGCCACGGAAAGAACACCUCAGGCCCACGCAGACGCCCUGUCUGGACAGGGGAGGGGACCCGUCACAGAGCAUGUGCCACGUGGGGAAGAAGGUCCCAGGCUCCUUCCUGACUGACAUUUUCCAGGAAUAACUGUUUAGUGGUUUUAAAAAAGUUAUUCCUUCAAUAGGAACAUUUAAACCCCUGAGGUGAGUGGUCAUUCAACAUUUGCUUUUGGAGUGAAUGGAUAAAUUCACACCAAAAAAAAUAAACUAUGACAUUUUCUAUUUCUUAAGCAGUUAAUAAUGGAAACUGGACCAUUCUUUUCCACUUACCAGCUAUUAGAUUUCAAGCAACUUUGCAUUAUAUCUUUCCAUAUUGUUUUUAUCUGGGAGAAAUUCACAUCACAUAAAAUUAACCAUUUUAAAGUGAACAAUUCAGUGGCAUUUAGUACAUUCAUGAUGUUGUGUAACCACCACCUCGAUUUUCGUCACCCCUGUUCCCACUGAGCAGGCACCCCUAUCACUCCCCCUCCCCAGCCCUUGGCAGCCUCCAAGCUGCUUGCUGUCUCUGUGGAUUUAUCUUGUCUGUUAUUCUAUACAAGUGGAACCACACAAUGUCUGACCUUUAGUGCCUGGCUUCUCCAUUUAGCGUAAUGUUUUCAAGGUUCACCCAUGGUCCAGCAUCUACUGACGCUUGGUCCUUUUUCGUGACUGAGUAAUACCCCAUUGCCUGUCUAUAGCACAGUUUCCCUAUUCCUCUAUUGAUAGCCUUUAGGCUGUUUCCACCUUUUGACUAUUGUGAAUAUGGGUGUGCAAGGACUUGCUUCUGAGUGCUUAUUUUCCGUUGCUUUGGGCACAUACCUAGGAGUGGAAUUGCCGGAUCAGAUGGUAAUUUUUAGUUUAACUUUUUGAGGAACCGCCAGACUCUUUUCCCUUCCCCCACUUUCUUAUCAACAUACUUAUCAAUUCACGUUCCUUUCCAGAAGAUAAUAUGCAUAUUAAGUGGCAUGCUUUUCUGUGCCUAGUCCCUUAUUCGUCGCCUUUGAUCUUACAAAUUGAGAGAUAUUGCCUCUUGUCCUAGAGAUAGAGUUAUUUGGAUGUUUAACAAAGAAAAUACUAACUCGGUAGGAAGCAACAGCUAACAGCAGAAACCUUUGUGGAGUAUUGUAUAUACGUGUGCCGGCCAUUGUAGUGACCGCUUCACCUCCGUCCUCUCAUUUAACCCUCACGACAGCUCAACUAUUAUCCCUGUUUUACAGCUGAGGAAACCGAGGUCUCUACCAAGAGCUAAGUGUCCUUCCCCCGGCUCCAGUAUUAUUGUAUUUAUAAAGCUUUGUGACCCUU